AUCAACGCUGGCGGCGUGCCUAACACAUGCAAGUCGAGCGAGAAAGUGUAGCAAUACAUGAGUAAAGCGGCGCACGGGUGAGUAACACGUGGAUAACCUGCCUCGAAGUGGGGGAUAACACCGGGAAACCGGUGCUAAUACCGCAUAUUCUGAUGAGAUCUGCGGAUUUUGUCAGGAAAGGAGCAAUCGCUACGAGAGGGGUCCGCGGCUGAUUAGCUAGUUGGUGAGGGUAAUGGCUCACCAAGGCAACGAUCAGUAGCCGGUCUGAGAGGACGGUCGGCCACACUGGAACUGAGACACGGUCCAGACUCCUACGGGAGGCAGCAGUGGGGAAUUUUUGGCAAUGGGCGAAAGCCUGACCAAGCAACGCCGCGUGGAUGAUGAAGUAUCUCGGUACGUAAAAUCCUUUCGACGGGGACGAAACCGCAAGGUUGACGGUACCCGUAGAAGAAGCCCCGGCUAACUCCGUGCCAGCAGCCGCGGUAAUACGGGGGGGGCAUAGCGUUGUUCGGAAUUACUGGGCGUAAAGGGCGUGUAGGCUGCUCGUUAAGUCGGGGUGUGAAAACUCUGGGCUCAACCCAGAGCCUGCACUCGAAACUGACGAGCUAGAGUUCUGGAGGGGGGAAAGCGGAAUUCCUGGGUUGGUAGCGGUGAAAUGUGUAGAUAUCAGGAGGAACACCGGUGGCGAAGGCGGCUUUCUGGACAGAAACUGACGCUGAGGCGCGAAAGCUAGGGGAGCAAGCAGGAUUAGAUACCCUGGUAGUCCUAGCCCUAAACGAUGGAUACUUGCUGUGAGGGGGGAUUGAAUCCCUUCGUGGCGAAGCUAACACAUUAAGUAUCCCGCCUGGGGAGUACGGUCGCAAGGGCUGAAACUCAAAGGAAUUGACGGGGGCCCACACAAGCGGUGUGAGUAUGUGGUUAAUUCGACGCAACGCGAAGAACCUUACCUGGGCUCGAACGGCUAGUGCCAGGCGGCGAAAGUCGCUUUUCCCGCAAGGGACGCUAGUCGAGGUGCUGCAUGGCUGUCGUCAGCUCGUGUCGUGAGAUGUUUGGGUUAAGUCCCGCAACGAGCGCAACCCCUGCUUCUAGUUGCUAACACGUUAUGGUGAGCACUCUAGAGGGACUGCCGGUGAAAAACCGGAGGAAGGUGGGGAUGACGUCAAGUCCUCAUGGCCUUUAUGUCCAGGGCUACACACGUACUACAAUGGCCGGUACAAAGAGUCGCAAACUCGCGAGAGGGAGCCAAUCUCAAAAAGCCGGUCUCAGUUCGGAUUGGAGUCUUGCAACUCGACUCCAUGAAGCUGGAAUCGCUAGUAAUCACUGAUCAGCGAGCAGUGGUGAAUACGUUCCCGGGCCUUGUACACACCGCCCGUCACAUCACGAAAGCCAUUUGUACUAGAAGCCGGUGAUUCAACCGCAAGGAGAUAGCCGUCCAAGGUAUGAAUGGUGAUUGGGGUG
rnacentral:rRNA from 1 species